GAUGAACGCUAGCGGCAGGCCUAACACAUGCAAGUCGAGGGGUAGAAGGAGCUUGCUCCUUUGAGACCGGCGCACGGGUGCGUAACGCGUAUGCAAUCUACCUUGUACAGGGGAGUAGCCCAGAGAAAUUUGGAUUAAUGCCCCAUAGUAUAUAACCUUCGCAUGUUGGUUAUAUUAAAGUUCCAACGGUACAAGAUGAGCAUGCGUCCCAUUAGUUAGUUGGUAAGGUAACGGCUUACCAAGACGAUGAUGGGUAGGGGUCCUGAGAGGGAGAUCCCCCACACUGGUACUGAGACACGGACCAGACUCCUACGGGAGGCAGCAGUGAGGAAUAUUGGUCAAUGGUCGCAAGACUGAACCAGCCAUGCCGCGUGCAGGAAGACGGUCCUAUGGAUUGUAAACUGCUUUUAUACAGGAAGAAACCCUCCCACGUGUGGGAGCUUGACGGUACUGUAGGAAUAAGGAUCGGCUAACUCCGUG
rnacentral:rRNA from 1 species